rnacentral:lncRNA from 1 species
CUGGUCCAUUUGAUGUGCUCAAUUUUUUUUACCAACAAUUCAAUUGCCGUUAUAAAAGCAUCACUUCUUUUGUAAGACCCUAAUGUUUAUAACUCUUGCAAACAAAAAUUACAUUGAUUUUAUAAAACUGUUUAUUGGCAAAUUUUAAUGACUUCGUUUCGUAGUGGACAAUUUGUGAGGGACACACCUUCUGAAAUUAAAAAACCUAUAUUGAAAGCUGUUUAUUAGAAUAUGUUGGCUCUGAACAUACUUUUGAAUUAUUAAAGAACUUAUGUAAAGUAAAAAAAACAUUAAUUUCUUCAUUUGUUUACGAUAUUUUAGAGUAUGAAUGUUGAACAGGCGGUCUAGGGACAUGCCAUUUUGGUUGUUUUGGACCAUUCAGGAGUCAAUAUCUUAUCAAUCCCUCUAAAAAAUAAACUGUUUCUUUGCUUAAAAAUGUUAAAUCUAAUUCAAUGUACUGACUGCACAAAAAAUUACUUGCAAAGAUCAAACACAUUUUUUUUAAAGUGGCUAGGAC